CUCCUGGUUUCAGUGGGUCCCACAGAGGUGACAGCUUCUCGGAACCCAAGCUGCUGACCAACAGCCAGGGAGUAUC
rnacentral:lncRNA from 1 species